GCUUUAUGUAAAAAGAAACAUGAUGUAUUUAACUUAUAAAGAUUUAGUUUUGUAUUACAUUUUAUUGGGGCAAUAAAAAUAUAAUUUAUGUAACUGUUUAUUAUUUGAAACAUUAUUUUUGAUUAAAUUGAUCCUUUUUAAAGAUUACAAGAACAAGUU
rnacentral:rRNA from 1 species